GCAGGUUUGCUGUCAGCGCAGCCUCCUCUUGCCACUGUCUCCUCAUGCUUGCUCACUUGCCCUUCCGGCCCAUUAUUACACAGCAAGGAGGCUCUCACCAGAUGCUGAACAGAUGCCAGUGCCAUGCUCUUGGACUUCCUGCCCUCUAGGAUUGUGAGCCAAGGGCCAGCUAGACAAACGCACCAAGACCACACACAGAUUCUAAGACAACAGGAGCAUGUGUGAAGGCACGAAUAGCCAGGAGGGCAGAGCUCUAGUGCCUCCAGCACCAAGGCUUGGGAGUUACAGGUGCCCAAAUGUAAAAGCUUGGGGGUCACUCUUUACUCUUCUGUGCUUCACGCUUCAUGUCCAGUCCAUUGGUGGAUUCUGUCUGCUCAGCCUUCAAGAGGUAUCUGGGACCCAUGGCACCACCCUUCCCACAUCACCACUCCACCAGCCCACCAGCUCCUGCUCCUGAGUUAGGGAUGACCCCUAACCAGCCUCCUGUUUCCAUGAAGACCUUUAACCAUCUAUGCUCAACCCAGAAGCCUGGAUGGGCCUGUGAUCUACUGGGUCAGGUCCCAGCCCCUCCAUCACUCCACCCUCCAGUG